rnacentral:rRNA from 1 species
UACAGAGGGUGCAAACGUUGUUCGGAAUCACUGGGCGUAAAGGGCGCGUAGGCGGACUUGUAAGUCGGGAGUGAAAACUCGGGGCUCAACCCCGAGCCUGCUUCUGAAACUGCGAGUCUUGAGGACCGGAGAGGAAAGUGGAAUUCCUAGUGUAGCGGUGGAAUGCGUAGAUAUUAGGAAGAACACCAGUGGCGAAGGCGACUUUCUGGACGGGUCCUGACGCUGAGGCGCGAAAGCUAGGGGAGCAAACAGG